rnacentral:rRNA from 1 species
UACAGAGGGUGCUAGCGUUGUUCGGAAUGACUGGGCGUAAAGAGCUCGUAGGCGGUCAUAUUAGUCGAGCGUGAAAUCCCUGGGCUUAACCCAGGAACUGCGUUCGAAACUGUAUGACUUGAGUUCAGGAGAGGAAAGCGGAAUUCCUAGUGUAGAGGUGAAAUUCGUAGAUAUUAGGAGGAACAUCAGAGGCGAAGGCGGCUUUCUGGACUGAUACUGACGCUGAGGAGCGAAAGCGUGGGGAGCAAACAGG